rnacentral:lncRNA from 1 species
AGGGAAUGACAGCACCUUGACGCUGUGUCUGAAUAGAGAGACAAGGCUGGGCAUGACUCACCAGCACCUACGCUCUUGCCACGUACUGGGGAUAAUAUUUUAAAAAAUAUUUUUAGAUGUAUUUUCAUAACGUAUAAAUCCUGUUGUCCUCAAGCUCCUUGCUUAUCGAAGCUGUGGGUUUUGUGCUCUGAGGGAAGGGCAGGCCUGCCAGCUAGGAAAACAAAGCCAUUUUUCAGUUUUGACUGGCAAAUAAGAUUUGUGAGUCCCUAGAAAGCGAAGGUUUUAAAAGCCGCGCAUUGUUGGGAGAGAGAAGGAUUUACUAAACUCCUUUAGUUGUCACACAAAGGGCUGGCCUGCUGGCUCCGAUCAUACAGUUUUGACUACAAUUCUGUGGUGGAGUCAUCUCAUGAUGUGGGGUGCAGGAGGUUGUUAUCACCCAAGAUGGAAGGAAUCGCCUUGUCUUCUGGGGCGGAGAUAUGUGGGAGGAGAAGGCAUAUCCAGGUGGGUGAGGGUGUCAGGCGCCAAGGCCCUGGCUUUCUCCCCUUACUUCGGGUUAGCAUCCAGGUAGGAUGGCACUCUAGAACACGGCAGACAGUGAUGGCCUUCUAGAACAUGAGGAUAGUGGUAGCACUCUAGGACGUGGGGGGAUAGUGUUAGUGCUCUAGAAUAUGAGGGGCAGUUAUGGCACUCUAGAAUGCUGAGGGGGGCAGCAGUGGCACUCUAGAACAUGGGGAAUGGGGACAACAGUAUAGAACAUAGGGACAGAGGCCUACCUUGCUGACCAUUUUGGGGAAGGCUUUAGGCCUCUGGAGAAGCUUGACAACUUGACCCAGAGCCUCAAGUGACAUGGUACCUGGAAACUUGUUGGCAAGGCGGGAGAAGCUGGCCAGAAGGGUGAGCCAGAGGCAGGACUUCUGGGUCCCUUCUACCUCUGUGGGGUGCACAGGGUGCCCCAAAGUUCCCAAAGCCCUAGUGGGAUAAUGCCCUGGAGAGGUGUCGAGAAGGCCAGCCGGUCAAAAGGAACCUGGCGUUGAGGACUGUAGAAAGGAGCUCGGGUCCUCGGACUUCGGCGAAGUAAGGACUUCUGGGGCUUUAAUUUUAAAACUUAAAAUCUGCUUUUCACAGAGGAGUUCAGCCCUAAGAGGAGUGGCCGGUCUCUGGAAUGUUCUGAAGUUCUUUGAUGGUCUUCCCAUCUUGAGCCAAAGCGAAAGCAUCUAUUGUGGGUGGUUCCUGAUGCCGACUCUCCCGUCAAAUGCAGUGACCCUAAAAGACAAGAUGGAGGUGAGAACACAUGAGACCCAGUAUGGCUCUGCCACUCUGAGGGCUGGCCACUGCUGAGUGUGGGGUGAGGAGAGCCUUGGCACAGACAAGGGAUCCAGUACAAGAGUUCACAGACUGCCUUCCUCUCACCUCUAUGAAUCCUGGCACUUCUGGCACCUACUGGUGACAUCCUUCAAACCUCUGUGUCCUCUGGCUCCUGACAAUGCUGGGCUGAGAUCAGAGGAGAUUUGGAAGGGUGAGCCCAUCCCUUGGAGAAUCUUAGUUUUCGUCCUGUGUCAAGGCAGACCCAAUAU